rnacentral:rRNA from 1 species
AUACGUAGGGGGCGAGCGUUGUCCGGAAUCAUUGGGCGUAAAGCGCGUGUAGGCGGCUCGGCAAGUCCGGUGUGAAAGCUCGAGGCUCAACCUCGAGUCUGCAUUGGAAACUGCCUUGCUAGAGUCCGGAAGAGGAGACUGGAAUUCCUGGUGUAGCGGUGAAAUGCGCAGAUAUCAGGAAGAACACCGGUGGCGAAGGCGGGUCUCUGGGACGGUACUGACGCUGAGACGCGAAAGCGUGGGGAGCAAACAGGAUUAGAUACCCUGGUAGUCCACGCCGUAAACGAUGGGCACUAGGUGUGGGAGGUGUCGACUCCUUCCGUGCCGAAGCUAACGCAUUAAGUGCCCCGCCUGGGGAGUACGGCCGCAAGGCUAAA